GUCCGUGUAUUGUCAUGCUCUUUAUACGUCAUCCCGUGACACCGGGUUGAUUUAAUUUAAGUGCUGACUGUAAAAUGUAAUACUAUACAAAUGGUGGAUGCAAUAACAGAAACUCUUUACAAUAUAAUGCAAUCCACUCCAACCAUUCCACAAACUGCAGUAUGGCAUCAGAGCGACCUUAGAUUUGAAUCAACAUCUCUGUGGCACAAUAUAAGCUUGACAAAGGCACAGCUGUUGUAUUGUAUUGUUCCCUGGUUAAGAUUUCAAGGAGUGCUACAAUGACCUAUGCUUAAACCGCAGUUAUUCAGUAUUAUUUCAGAAUAUAAUACCAGAUGAAUUACUCAACAUAUAACUCCACCUUUUAACUGUGUAAAUCGUUUUUCAAUGCCAAAUGUCACAUGGUUCCAGCAUCUCGAUUAUGAUUUGCUGCUUUUCUUUGUCUUAUGUGGUUGUUAAUUCAAUAUUUCUGGGUCAGUGUUUCCCAAAUGUUUUUUCUAGGGACCAAAUUUUAAAAAAUGACAAACCAUUGCCACCUACAAUAGUCUAUAAAUCAAAUUAAAUGAACGUUCCUGACCAUUUUCACCACCAUUUCUGCAUCACCUUAUAUUAUCUUGAAUCGGUAAACCAGCCAUGUUGAAGAGAUACGUUUGAUAAAUAAAAUAAAUGCAUUUUGGAGGAGUCAUUUUAAUUC